AGUGAACGCUGGCGGUAGGCCUAACACAUGCAAGUCGAACGGCAGCACAGUAAGAGCUUGCUCUUACGGGUGGCGAGUGGCGGACGGGUGAGGAAUACAUCGGAAUCUACUUUUUCGUGGGGGAUAACGUAGGGAAAGUUACGCUAAUACCGCAUAUGAUCUACGGGUGAAAGCAGGGGAUCGUCGGACCUUGCGCGAUUGAAUGAGCCGAUGUCGGAUUAGCUAGUUGGGGGGGUAAAGGCCCACCAAGGCGACGAUCCGUAGCUGGUCUGAGAGGAUGAUCAGCCACACUGGAACUGAGACACGGUCCAGACUCCUACGGGAGGCAGCAGUGGGGAAUAUUGGACAAUGGGCGCAAGCCUGAUCCAGCCAUACCGCGUGGGUGAAGAAGGCCUUCGGGUUGUAAAGCCCUUUUGUUGGGAAAGAAAAGCAGCAGGUUAAUACCCCGCUGUUCUGACGGUACCCAAAGAAUAAGCACCGGCUAACUUCGUG
rnacentral:rRNA from 1 species